AAGACUGGCUCGAUUGGGGACCGGGUUGUACUCGUCCAGCAACGUUUCAGACGGGCCGAGAGGCUCGUUUUCAUCGGUUAACGGCUGGCUGCCAAGAAGAAAAAAAAAAAUAAUCUAUUCGUGGAACACACGCUUUUGCUUUCCUUCCAGUUUUCUUUCAACCGCAUCAGCGCGCCGUGUGUUACGGAGAUGCAGAACGAAAGCAAAGAGACAGGCCCGCGUCGGUGGCAAUGUCACGACGCCUUCCCGGUGGUUAUAAAUAAUACUAGUCGAAUGAGAAACGACGACACCCAACUGCCGCCCAUCGACCCCGAUCGCCAAGAGAACGAAGAGCAACGUAACUCUGUCUGGGCCGUCGUUGAUGAGGUGUGUAUUUUGGAGCGGGAAAACUUUGUCGGUAAGGUAGACAGAACAGCAAAGUCCGUCCCUUUUUGGCCGAUCUUCGUCGACGGACAACAACAAGAUUUUCAACCCGUCGUCGUCUUAGCGUCAACAACACAACACGUGUGACAACGACCCAUUAUUACGACUGUCCUUUCUAACACUAACGAGCGAAACAUAAAGAAAAGAAAAGAAAAAAAGAAAAACUCUAGUGUCACUAUAUUUUCCCGACAGCGUGUUUAGUCGGCCUAGCAACAGACGCAGUUGGUAACGUGUAGCAAAUAUAAGGAAGCAGAUCGCUAAGUGCCCAUGAAAGUAUUGCCUCUCGUAAAAAAACAAAAAAAAACAAGAGUCUACGAACGGUAGAACAACAACCUACCUUGUUCUUUUUUUCUUUUCUGUUAUUUACUAUGUCCUUAUUAUCUGGCCGCCAUUAUUACAAACGUACGCUAUGUCCAUCAUCCAUCUAUGCACUCGACUUUUUGUUUUGUUUGAUUCAAAGUGCAGGCCAUAAGACAAGCAAAAGGCGGGCAAGUCUAUACGGAACAGACGAAAUCAAUCAGACUAUGUUUUUCAGUGAGCUUCUCUUUGACGUUGCCGCAUACGAAAUACAACUUGUUGGAAAUGCCCCGAAUAAAGAAAGUAAUCUUUC
rnacentral:lncRNA from 1 species